rnacentral:rRNA from 1 species
UGUGAAGGAAAGGUGAAAAGGACCCCGGGAGGGGAGUGAAAGAGAACCUGAAACCCUGUGUCUACAAGCUGUGGAAGCACUUUAUAUGUGCGACCGCGUACUUUUUGUAGAACGGUCCGGCGAGUUACGCUUACUGGCAAGGUUAAGCACUUCAGGUGUGGAGCCGUAGGGAAACCAAGUCUUAAGAGGGCCUUAAGUCAGUAGGAGUAGACCCGAAACCGGGUGAUCUAUCCAUGUCCAGGUUGAAGCUGCCGUAAGAGGUAGUGGAGGACCGAACCCACAUCCGUUGAAAAGGGUGGGGAUGAGGUGUGGAUAGGGGAGAAAUUCCAAUCGANCGACCGCGUACUUUUUGUAGAACGGUCCGGCGAGUUACGCUUACUGGCAAGGUUAAGCACUUCAGGUGUGGAGCCGUAGGGAAACCAAGUCUUAAGAGGGCCUUAAGUCAGUAGGAGUAGACCCGAAACCGGGUGAUCUAUCCAUGUCCAGGUUGAAGCUGCCGUAAGAGGUAGUGGAGGACCGAACCCACAUCCGUUGAAAAGGGUGGGGAUGAGGUGUGGAUAGGGGAGAAAUUCCAAUCGAACCCGGAGAUAGCUGGUUCUCCUCGAAAUAGCUUUAGGGCUAGCCUCGAUACAGAUUUGCGGAGGUAGAGCACUGAAUUUCCUAGGGGGCGUCAAAGCCUACCGAAGAAUAUCAAACUCCGAAUGCCGCGUAAUCGAUUAUCGGGAGUCAGACUGCACGAGAUAAGUUGGGCGGUCAAAAGGGAAAGAGCCCAGACCUUCAGUUAAGGUCCCCAAGUGCGCGUUAAGUGGAAAAGGAUGUGGGAUUUCGAAGACAACCAGGAUGUUGGCUCAGAAGCAGCCAUCCAUUCAAAGAGUGCGUAAUAGCUCACUGGUCGAGAGGUCCUGCGCCGAAAAUGUCCGGGGCUGAAACGCGCCACCGAAACUAAGGAACCGAAAGGUUGGUAGAGGAGCAUUGCAUGCGGGAAGAAGCAGUACCGUAAGGAGCUGUGGACUGCAUGGAAGAGAGAAUGCCGGAAUGAGUAGCGAGAAUAAGGUGAGAAUCCUUAUGGCCGAAUAUCCAAGGUUUCCAGAGUAAAGCUGAUCUGCUCUGGGUAAGUCGGGGCCUAAGGCGAGGACGAGAGUCGUAGCCGAUGGACAACAGGUGGAGAUUCCUGUACUGCGGUAUGACAGAACUGUGGGGACACGUAAGGAAAGCGGAAGCCGGGAAUGGAAAGCCCGGUGCAAGCGGGGUACCAGCCACUUAGGCAAAUCCGGGUGGCAAUGGGAAUCCGUGAUGCGGAGCGAAAUAAAGUAGCGAAGUCCGUGAGCCAUGCGUCAAGAAAAGCCGCUNCCGAAAGGUUGGUAGAGGAGCAUUGCAUGCGGGAAGAAGCAGUACCGUAAGGAGCUGUGGACUGCAUGGAAGAGAGAAUGCCGGAAUGAGUAGCGAGAUAGAGGUGGGAAUCCUCUAGGCCGAAUAUCCAAGGUUUCCAGAGUAAAGCUGAUCUGCUCUGGGUAAGUCGGGGCCUAAGGCGAGGACGAGAGUCGUAGCCGAUGGACAACAGGUGGAGAUUCCUGUACUGCGGUAUGACAGAACUGUGGGGACACGUAAGGAAAGCGGAAGCCGGGAAUGGAAAGCCCGGUGCAAGCGAGGUACCAGCCACUUUGGCAAAUCCGGGUGGCAAUGGGAAGCCGUGAUGCGGAGCGAAAUAAAGUAGUGAAGUCCGUGAGCCAUGCGUCAAGAAAAGCCGCUAU